rnacentral:rRNA from 1 species
GACGAACGCUGGCGGCGUGCUUAACACAUGCAAGUCGAACGGAAAGGCCCUGCUUUUGUGGGUUGUUGGUGUGGCGAGCGGGUGAGUGACACAUGAGUGACCUGCCCGUGACUUUGGGAUAACUUCGCGUAACUGGGGGUAAUACAGGAUAUGUGCUCCGUCUGCAUGGUGGGGGGUGGGAGGUUUCGGCGGUUGGGGAUGGACUCGCGGCUUCUGAGCUUGUUGGUGGGGGAGGGGCUUACGAAGGCUUUGGCGGUUAGCCGGCGUGAGAGGGGGACCGGCCUCAGUGGGACUGAGAUACGGCCCAGAGUCCUACGGGAGGCAGCAGUGGGGAAUAUUGCACAAUGGGAGGAAGCCUGAUGCAGCAACGCCGCGUGCGGGAUGAGGGCCUUCGGGUUGUAACCCGCUUUCGCGUGUGACGAAGCGUGAGUGACGGUAAUGGGUAAAGAAGCACCGGCUAACUACGUG